UAGCCUAUACUGGAAAAUGACUUUUCUUGCUGAAACCAGCAUGUGCUCUAUGAAAGAAAAAUAAAUCACAGACGGAAAAACAAGAUCAUACUGAAAGUGAAACUUUGGUUUCACAGCCAAUCAGUGGAAAAGAGAACUAGAGGAAAAUGUGAGCCGAUACAAAACUCAACAAACAUAUAGCUAACUGUAUUUGCUGCGUAGUUUUCGGCAGUGUUUUGGAGAAAGUAUCGAUAUAUUUAGCUUUCCUGUUUUUGUUAUUAUAGUUCUAAUCACCGCGUGAUCUUCAUGUGGGAGGCAUCAAUCACGAAACGUUGACAGUGGGCUGGAAGAAACACGAUAACACAAAGGUAAACAUAAGAGAAAUUGAUGAAUGGGAGAACAUAUAUGGAUCAUCACGCACCGCAGGAUAAUUAAACACAUGGAGAAGAGAAAAAGAGAAAAAUUUUAACAAAGAGGACAAAAUGUUACAGUCUAAAGAAGCAAAGACACCGAGUCUAGUCAGACAGAGCAGCAUUAAUAGCGGCAGACCAAACUUUUCUGACAUUGCAGAGUUUCAAAAGAGUCGCAGACAACGAUGCAGCGGUUCUGUUCAUCUAACCUGCAGAAUAUUCUCCGUCAUGUUCAGCCACUGAUUAAUGUGUAGAGAAUAUCUGUUUUAUAGUCGCACCGGUAGUGACGUCAGAGGCUGUCGCCGGCCAACUCGUUGGUGUUUUUUCAUUUGUAUGCUUCAGACGCGGGUCACGACGAGGUGUUCCCCAUAGCGCCCCCUAGAGGACGCAGUGUCUCGUUCCCUACUCAGGGAACCAUGGUUACAUUCGUAACCUGAGACGUUUUGACCGAUAACACUGCUGUAAGUAUCUAUUAUAUAGUUUCAGUAUUUAUAGAUUGCAUGACAUUAAAAAUAUAAACAACUACAUUACUAGCCAAAGAUACGACAACAAAUCAAAAAAUAAAAAUGCAAGCAACAAAUCA
ensembl:lncRNA